rnacentral:lncRNA from 1 species
CUCGGUAGUGUGAUGAGUGUCUGAUCAGCAUAGUAUGGUUGGGUCUAAAGUUCUUCUGAACUUUUACGCGACUUGUGGGUAAAGAUGUACAACCUCUCCAAAGUGUCUAAAAUUGAUAUAUCAGCUGUGCUCAUUGUCAAGAGUGGCCUGGACCCUCACAUGAUUAAUAAACUUUAAGAUGGACUUAAAUCGUUAUUUUGCUUAUUUCAUGUGAUCUUGCUG